rnacentral:rRNA from 1 species
GACGAACGCUGGCGGCGUGCUUAACACAUGCAAGUCGAACGGAAAGGCCCUGCUUUUGUGGGGUGCUCGAGUGGCGAAAGGGUGAGUAACACGUGAGUAACCUGCCCUUGACUUUGGGAUAACUUCAGGAAACUGGGGCUAAUACCGGAUAGGAGCUCCUGCUGCAUGGUGGGGGUUGGAAAGUUUCGGCGGUUGGGGAUGGACUCGCGGCUUAUCAGCUUGUUGGUGGGGUAGUGGCUUACCAAGGCUUUGACGGGUAGCCGGCCUGAGAGGGUGACCGGCCACAUUGGGACUGAGAUACGGCCCAGACUCCUACGGGAGGCAGCAGUGGGGAAUAUUGCACGAUGGGCGGAAGCCUGAUGCAGCAACGCCGCGUGCGGGAUGACGGCCUUCGGGUUGUAAACCGCUUUCGCCUGUGACGAAGCGUGAGUGACGGUAAUGGGUAAAGAAGCACCGGCUAACUACGUG